AUUGAACGCUGGCGGCAGGCUUAACACAUGCAAGUCGAGCGGGGACUUCGGUCCUAGCGGCGAACGGGUGAGGAAUGCUUGGGAAUCUGCCCAGUAGCGGGGGAUAACGUUUCGAAAGGAACGCUAAUACCGCAUACGCCCUACGGGGGAAAGGGGGGGAUCUUCGGACCUCUCACUAUUGGAUGAGCCCAAGUCGGAUUAGCUAGUUGGUGGGGUAAAGGCCUACCAAGGCGACGAUCCGUAGCUGGUCUGAGAGGAUGAUCAGCCACACUGGAACUGAGACACGGUCCAGACUCCUACGGGAGGCAGCAGUGGGGAAUAUUGGACAAUGGGCGAAAGCCUGAUCCAGCCAUGCCGCGUGUGUGAAGAAGGCCUUCGGGUUGUAAAGCACUUUAAGCGAGGAGGAAUGGCUGAGGGUUAAUAACCUUCAGCAGUGACGUUACUCGCAGAAUAAGCACCGGCUAACUCUGUGCCAGCCGCCGCCGUAACAC
rnacentral:rRNA from 1 species